rnacentral:rRNA from 1 species
GCGCAGCAGUCGAGAAUUUUUCUCAAUGGGGGAAACCCUGAAGGAGCGACGCCGCGUGGAGGAUGAAGGCUUUCGGGUUGUAAACUCCUGUCAUUUGGGAACAAUGUGCACGCGUUAACUGCGCAUGCAUUGAUAGUACCAGAAGAGGAAGGGACGGCUAACUCUGUGCCAGCAGCCGCGGUAAUACAGAGGUCCCAAGCGUUGUUCGGAUUCAUUGGGCGUAAAGGGUGCGUAGGCGGUGCUGUAAGUCAGAUGUGAAAUCUCGGGGCUUAACCCCGAAACUGCAUUUGAUACUGCGGUGCUCGAGGACUGGAGAGGAGACUGAAAUUCAUGGUGUAGCAGUGAAAUGCGUAGAUAUCAUGAGGAAGGCCAGUGGCGAAGGCGGGUCUCUGGACAGUUCCUGACGCUGAGGCACGAAGGCCAGGGGAGCAAACGGGAUUAGAUACCCCCGUAGU